ACUGCUUCUCAGCCUUUUGGCUAAGAUCAAGUGUAGUAUCCAUUCUAAGAGUAGUAAGCAUAUCAUUAUUAUUGAAAUAAAGUUCAAGUAUGGAGUGAUUACUAGAUUUCUAACAGAAAAACUACAUUUUAUGCCUUAUUUUUACUUUAAUAAGGUCUAUGAGGGAAGAUGU
ensembl:snRNA U2 U2 spliceosomal RNA